rnacentral:rRNA from 1 species
AGAACGAACGCUGGCGGCGUGGAUAAGACAUGCAAGUCGAACGGGCUUAGUUUUAGAGCAAUCUAGGGUUGAGCCAGUGGCGAACGGGUGCGUAACACGUGAGUCAUCUGCCUGAAAGUGGGGGAUAGCUCGCCGAAAGGCGAAUUAAUACCGCAUGUGGUUGUGAAACCAAAGCCGGGGCAACCUGGCGCUUUUAGAGGAGCUCGCGGCCUAUCAGCUUGUUGGUGAGGUAACAGCUUACCAAGGCAACGACGGGUAGCUGGUCUGAGAGGACGACCAGCCACACUGGAACUGAGACACGGUCCAGACACCUACGGGUGGCAGCAGUCGAGAAUUUUUCUCAAUGGGGGAAACCCUGAAGGAGCGACGCCGCGUGGAGGAUGAAGGCUUUCGGGUUGUAAACUCCUGUCAUUUGGGAACAAGUCUUACGUUAACUGCGUGGAGAUUUGAUAGUACCGAAAGAGGAAGAGACGGCUAACUCUGCGCCAGCAGCCGCGGUAA